UCAGAGGAAGAAGGAAACAUUCUGCUUUCUAACAGUCUAUGUAUAUAGACAAUUUAUUGACUAUUUGACCUCAAAUCAGGUAGGACUACCCGCUGAACUUAAGCAUAUCAAUAAGCGGAGGAAAAGAAACUAACAAGGAUUCCCCUCGUAACUGCGAGUGAAGAGGGAAAAGCUCAAAUUUAAAAUCUGGCAGUCUUUGAUUGUCCGAGUUGUAAUUUAGAGAAGUGUUACCCGCGUUGGACCGUGUACAAGUUUCCUGGAAUGGAACGUCAUAGAGGGUGAGAAUCCCGUCUUUGACACGGAUCCCAAUUCAUUGUGGUACACUUUCGAAGAGUCGAGUUGUUUGGGAAUGCAGCUCUAAAUGGGUGGUAAAUUCCAUCUAAAGCUAAAUAUUGGGGAGAGACCGAUAGCGAACAAGUACCGUGAGGGAAAGAUGAAAAGAACUUUGGAAAGAGAGUUAAACAGUACGUGAAAUUGCUAAAAGGGAAACGCUUGAAGUCAGUCGCGUUGUCCGGGGAUCAGCCUUCCUUCUGGUUGGUGUACUUCCUGGUUGAUGGGUCAGCAUCAGUUUUGACCGGUGGAUAAGAGUGAGAGGAAUGUGGCAUCUUCGGGUGUGUUAUAGCCUCUUGUUGUAUACAUUGGUUGGGACUGAGGAAUUCAGCACGCCGCAAGGCCGGGUUUUUAACCAC
rnacentral:rRNA from 1 species